CCUACGGGCGGCUGCAGUGGGGAAUUUUGGACAAUGGGGGCAACCCUGAUCCAGCCAUGCCGCGUGCGGGAAGAAGGCCUUCGGGUUGUAAACCGCUUUUGUCAGGAGAGAAAUCUCUUGGGCUAAUACCCUGAGAGGAUGACGGUACCUGAAGACUAAGCACCGGCUAACUACGUGCCAGCAGCCGCGGUAAUACGUAGGGUGCGUACGUUAAUCGGAAUUACUGGGCGUGACUGGGGAGCAGAGGUGUGAAAGCCCCGGGCUUAACCUGGGAACGGCACUUGUGACUGCAAGGCUAGAGUACGGCAGAGGGGGAUGGAAUUCCGCGUGUAGCAGUGAAAUGCGUAGAUAUGCGGAGGAACACCGAUGGCGAAGGCAGUCCCCUGGGCCUGUACUGACGCUCAUGCACGAAAGCGUGGGGAGCAAACAGGAUUAGAUACCCUGGUAGUC
rnacentral:rRNA from 1 species